rnacentral:rRNA from 1 species
UGGAGGGAUGGGGCUCGCGGCCUAUCAGGCUUUGUUUGGUGAGGUAAUGGCUCACCAAGGCGUCGACGGGUAGCCGGCCUGAGAGGGUGACCGGCCACACUGGGGACUGAGACACGGGCCCAGACUCCUACGGGAGGCAGCAGUGGGGAAUAUUGCACAAUGGGCGGAAGCCUGAUGCAGCAACGCCGCGUGAGGGAUGACGGCCUUCGGGUUGUAAACCUCUUUUAGCAGGGAAGAAGCGUGAGUGACGGUACCUGCAGAAAAAGCGCCGGCUAACUACGUGCCAGCAGCCGCGGUAAUACGUAGGGCGCAAGCGUUAUCCGGAAUUAUUGGGCGUAAAGAGCUCGUAGGCGGUCUGUCGCGUUUGCUGUGAAAUCCCGAGGCUCAACCUCGGGCCUGCAGUGGGUACGGGCAGACUAGAGUGCGGUAGGGGAGAUUGGAAUUCCUGGUGUAGCGGUGGAAUGCGCAGAUAUCAGGAGGAACACCGAUGGCGAAGGCAGAUCUCUGGGCCGUAACUGACGCUGAGGAGCGAAAGGGUGGGGAGCAAACAGGCUUAGAUACCCUGGUAGUCCACCCCGUAAACGUUGGGAACUAGUUGUGGGGUCCUUUCCACGGAUUCCGUGACGCAGCUAACGCAUUAAGUUCCCCGCCUGGGGAGUACGGCCGCAAGGCUAAAACUCAAAGGAAUUGACGGGGACCCGCACAAGCGGCGGAGCAUGCGGA